rnacentral:rRNA from 15 species
GCGGUUGACAGCCACAGAAACCAGGCCCCUGCAACUGUUUAUUAAAAACAUAGCACUCUGCAAACACGAAAGUGGACGUAUAGGGUGUGAUGCCUGCCCGGUGCUGGAAGGUUAAUUGAUGGGGUCAGCCGCAAGGCGAAGCUCUUGAUCGAAGCCCCAGUAAACGGCGGCCGUAACAAUAACGGUCCUAAGGUAGCGAAAUUCCUUGUCGGGUAAGUUCCGACCUGCACGAAUGGCGUAACGACUUCCCCGCUGUCUCAACCGCGAACUCGGCGAAAUUGCACUACGAGUAAAGAUGCUCGUUACGCGCAGCAGGACGGAAAGACCCCGGGACCUUCACUAUAGCUUGGUAUUGGUGUUCGGGACGGCUUGUGUAGGAUAGGUGGGAGACUGUGAAGCGGUCACGCUAGUGAUGGUGGAGUCAACGUUGAAAUACCACUCUGGUCGUUCUGGAUGUCUAACUUCGGUCCGUGAUCCGGAUCAGGGACAGUGCCUGGUGGGUAGUUUAACUGGGGCGGUUGCCUCCUAAAGAGUAACGGAGGCGCCCAAAGGUUCCCUCAGCCUGGUUGGCAAUCAGGUGUUGAGUGUAAGUGCACAAGGGAGCUUGACUGUGAGACAGACAUGUCGAGCAGGGACGAAAGUCGGGACUAGUGAUCCGGCAGUGGCUUGUGGAAGCGCUGUCGCUCAACGGAUAAAAGGUACCCCGGGGAUAACAGGCUGAUCUUGCCCAAGAGUCCAUAUCGACGGCAUGGUUUGGCACCUCGAUGUCGGCUCGUCGCAUCCUGGGGCUGGAGUAGGUCCCAAGGGUUGGGCUGUUCGCCCAUUAAAGCGGUACGCGAGCUGGGUUUAGAACGUCGUGAGACAGUUCGGUCCCUAUCUACCGUGGGCGCUGGAAAUUUGAGAGGAUCUGCUCCUAGUACGAGAGGACCAGAGUGGACAAACCUCUGGUGUACCGGUUGUCACGCCAGUGGCAUCGCCGGGUAGCUAUGUUCGGAAGGGAUAACCGCUGAAAGCAUCUAAGCGGGAAGCCUACCUCAAGAUAAGAUUUCCCAAGGACUUUAUGUCCUCUAAAGAGCCGUUGAAGA